rnacentral:rRNA from 1 species
UACGGGGGGGGCAAGCGUUGUUCGGAAUUACUGGGCGUAAAGGGCUCGUAGGCGGCCAACUAAGUCAGACGUGAAAUCCCUCGGCUUAACCGGGGGACUGCGUCUGAUACUGGGUGGCUUGAAUCCGGGAGAGGGAUGCGGAAUUCCAGGUGUAGCGGUGAAAUGCGUAGAUAUCUGGAGGAACACCGGUGGCGAAGGCGGCAUCCUGGACCGGCAUUGACGCUGAGGCGCGAAAGCCAGGGGAGCAAACGGG